UACGGAGGGUGCGAGCGUUGUCCGGAAUCACUGGGCGUAAAGGGCGCGUAGGCGGCCUGAUAAGUAGGGGGUGAAAUCCUGCGGCUUAACCGCAGGGCUGCCUUCUAAACUGCCGGGCUAGAGCACGGUAGAGGCAGAUGGAAUUCCCGGUGUAGCGGUGGAAUGCGUAGAGAUCGGGAAGAACAUCAGUGGCGAAGGCGGUCUGCUGGGCCGUUGCUGACGCUGAGGCGCGACAGCGUGGGGAGCAAACAGG
rnacentral:rRNA from 1 species